rnacentral:rRNA from 1 species
GACGAACGCUGGCGGCGUGCUUAACACAUGCAAGUCGAACGGAAAGGCCCUGCUUUUGUUGGGUUCUCGAUUGGCGAACGGGUGAGUAACACGUGAGUAACCUGCCCUUGACUGUGUGAUAACUUCAGGAAACUGGGGCUAAUACCGGAUAUGAGCUCCUGAUGCAUGUGGUGGGUUGGAGAGAGUCGGUGGUGGUGGAUGGACUGGCGGCUUAUCAGCUUGUUGGUGAGGUAGUGGCUUACCAGGGCUUUGAGGGGUAGCCGGCAUGGGAGGGUGACCGGGCACAUUGGGACUGAGAUAGGGAGCAGAAGCGUACGGGAGGCAGCAGUGGGGAACAUUGCAGAAUGGGCGGAAGCGUGAUGCAGCAACGCCGCGUGCGGGAUGACGGCUUUCGGGUUGUAAACAGAUUUGGAAUGUGACGAAGCGUGAGUGACGGUAAUGGGUCAAGAAGCAACGGCUAACUACGUG